rnacentral:rRNA from 1 species
CCUACGGGAGGCUGCAGUGGGGAAUAUUGGACAAUGGGGGGAACCCUGAUCCAGCCAUGCCGCGUGUGUGAAGAAGGCCCUCGGGUUGUAAAGCACUUUCAGUGAGGAAGAACGCCUGGUGGUUAAUACCCAUCAGGAAAGACAUCACUCACAGAAGAAGCACCGGCUAACUCCGUGCCAGCAGCCGCGGUAAUACGGAGGUUGCGAGCGUUAAUCGGAAUUACUGGGCGUAAAGCGCGCGUAGGUGGCUUGAUAAGCCGGUUGUGAAAGCCCCGGGCUCAACCUGGGAACGGCAUCCGGAACUGUCAAGCUAGAGUGCAGGAGAGGAAGGUAGAAUUCCCGGUGUAGCGGUGAAAUGCGUAGAGAUCGGGAGGAAUACCAGUGGCGAAGGCGGCCUUCUGGACUGACACUGACACUGAGGUGCGAAAGCGUGGGUAGCAAACAGGAUUAGAUACCCGAGUAGUC